UGAUAGAGCGACGUCGCGUGAGUGAAGAAGGCCUUCGGGUUGUAAAGCUCUGUCACCGGGGAAGAAAGUAUUUAUGAGGAAAUGCAUAGAUAUUGACGGUACCUGGAGAGGAAGCACUGGCUAACUACGUGCCAGCAGCCGCGGUAAUACGUAGAGUGCAAGCGUUGUCCGGAAUUAUUGGGCGUAAAGGGUACGCAGGCGGCCCUGCAAGUCAAAUGUGAAAGGUCACAGCUUAACUGUGAGAAUGCGUUUGAAA
rnacentral:rRNA from 1 species